rnacentral:lncRNA from 1 species
AAAAUCGUGUAAUGUGAAUGACUGCCAGAGAACCAUAAGGGCAUUUUAUGAAAAAAUGCCUUUUAAUAUCUCUCAAAUGCUGGCUUUUUGUUAUUGUUCUCCAUCUGACAACAACUGUACAAAUUCAGAAGCAGUUCUUCAUAGUAAACCAUGUGCUGUGCAGACAGAUGUUUCCACUUCCUGCUUAAGUGUUUUUCGUAGAUGCCUUGAAGAUGAAGCAUGCAGGUUUGUAAAAAAAUAUAUCCUUAUCAUGGAGAUGCUAGCGUAAUUUAGAUUUAGCAUAAUUAUAUACCCCAAAGAAAAUUGUAUAUUUUUGUUGGUAAUAUAAUUACAAACAGCUUACAUGAACAAAUACAUGAAAAAAAAUAUAAAAAUAACAAAAUAAAAUGUAAAUGACUAUGAAUUUAACUAACUGAUAUAGCUAUCCUUAAGGAACAUUCCAAUGGAUUUUUAAAAUCAAUUUAGUAGUACUGUCAAGCACUUUUUGUUGGAGAAACUAAACUUUUAGCAUAACAGCUAUUUAAAGCAAGGGACAUUUAGCUAGUAAAUAAACAUGUAUGUACAUACUGGGCAUUGGAUGAGAUAUCCUCCUUAAACCAACCAUGAACUCCCCCCCCACCCCAAAUAACGACAGACACUAAAUCCUUGAAUAUAACCGGCCACAGCAUUUAUUAAAAAAAUACAAAUACUGUGUAAUGCAUCCAAUUCGUAUAAAACUGUACAUAUAAAUAACUAAAACGAUCAAACCUAAACAUACAAAUAACAGUACAUAAUGUCAUACAGUAUGCCCUCAAUGUAAUCAAAAUGUCCUUGCCAAUCUAACUCACCCCUUCCCAAAGGCUCUCACCUCCCCACUCAGCAUAAUAAAUUCCGAUUCCCUUUUGGGCUCCCCACCAGCUGGCUUUUAGCUCGGUGGGACCCGACCAUAAUGCUCCCCACCAGCCGGCUUUUCACUUGGUAGGGAAACAUCCAGUCUGGUAUCCCUUUCCUUAGGAGCCAGAUCGCAACAUAAUAACUAUAAUUAAUAUCGUAUCUUUCUGUGCGCUCGAUGAUGCUGCCAUGAGGGGCAGCGGGGGAGGCUGGAGGAGAUGCAGGCCACUCGUCACGUGGCUCCGGCAUGGGGUCCUGGCGCUGACUCAGGUCCGGGCUGUGGCUCCUAUACUGGGCCCGAGGGGAGGCACUUGGGUUCAGCUAAGGAGGACGGGUGCGCCGAUCCGCGCUGGUGCGGCCACCCAGGGAGGAUAUCAUGGGAGGGGGAACAGGGGGAGCCACACUGUGGGGAGGGGAGUCCGCACCACCAGAUGGCUGGGGCUGAAGUAGGCGAGCAAACUGCUCGCGGAGCUGCCGUCCACCGUCCACUGCUGCCUCAGCUCUGAGGGCUGACAGGAUUGCUCAAUAUCCAUGCCACAGGCCGAAAUCACCAACAGGCCCAAUAACAGGAGGAAUGCAAAGAAACUGUUGCUGGCCCAGAUCCUAAGUGGCACUGACGUCAGCUUAAUUUGUCACCAUCCACUUCCUUACAUCCAACACUCCCACACAUAACAAACAGCCAAUCAUGUUUCAUCCAUUCCCACACUCAUACAUGUGCCCUUGUCUGCUAAGCUGCACACUCUCCCUUGGGCCUAAUACUAAAACAACAAUCAGCAUAUAGAUUGCUUUUUAGACAAACAUAAACAUUAUGUAAAUUUACACAACCUUUAGUUUUCAUUUCUUUGUUCAUCCUAUAUUUACAUUUUUGGGGAAUGAAAAGCUUUUGAUAGUAUACAGUGAUCCUUAUCUUGCAAUAUAUCACACACAAUCUGAAAUUGUAGUGUAAAAGCAAAAAACAUUAUUUUCUCACAUAGAGUAGUGUAACAAAAUAGAGUAAUUAAAAUGGUCAAGUAACCCGCUGAAAGAUAUUUGUAAGGACCCUGGAUGUAUUAUUAGAAGUACAGCUUAUUGAAAAAUGGCAAUAUAAUGUAAAACAAAAGUCUGCUUUUAAAUAUAAUGCCUACAUACAAUGGGCACAUAUAUAUUUCUAACAUGAAGAUAUUUAACAAGUGCUAUUGCAAUUGUUAUCAGUCCAUGACUGUAAGAAUUAUAUGACUCAUUGAACGUCCUUUACUGUUUGGAAGGAGGGGUGAGCUAACAAUUUGAACACACUUAAAUGCAUUAUAUUAGUGACUAGUGGUUUCAGGUUUAAAAAUCCAUUCCUCUACAGGCUGGUAUUCAUUCAUAGAGUAUAAAUUAGUUUGAUUGGGCUUUAUAGACAACAUUUUGCUCUGCAAAGAACACAAAAAUAAAAAUGUUUUUGCUUGAUUCUGGAAGUAAAGGUGUUUAGGAAAAAAACUAUAUACAUGAUAAGAUGAAAAGUCAACCCACUUUCAACUUAUUUGCUCUUCCUUGCCAUGUAGAUACUCUGUUUAAAACAGCUUUACUGAAUCCAUUACUUUGAGCAGUGCACAUUGGCUUCAUGAGUAAAUAUAUAAAUUGAAUGUAACUUUGCAGUAACUGAAUAUAAACAUACAUGUAAAUAAAUUAUAAAUAUUGCCCCAUUUAUAUUUUUCUGAUGAGAUGAUCUCUUUCAUCACAAGGAGUAGAUUGGUUCUUUCAUCCCAUUAAGUGUAAUAUAGAUUUAUGUUUGUAUAGAUAUAGAAUAGAUUUAUGCUUGUAGAAUAUAAAAUAAAUGGGGAUAAUGGAGUCAGCAUUUGUCUUCUCUCAUAAUGAUUCAAUGGGGCACUCUAAGCACUAUUACCACUACAGGAUGCUGUUUAUGUCCCUUUGUCUAGAGUCCCAUAGAGCCAUCCCCAGUAGGAGAUAAAAUCAUUUGUAAGUGAUUUGGCUCACCUGGAUCCUCCUGUUCCUGGCACUGGAUAGUCCCUUUAAAAGCUGCAUACUCCAGUAAUACUGUAUAUUGAACGUUUAUUUUUUCAUAUUUGGCUGUUCACUUUGCAUUCUCACAUUAGUGAUUAACCCUUCUAGCAUGUUAAACACCUGCACAUACAAGGCAGCACAUAGGCUAAAUCAGUUGAGGAACUUAAGAACAUGUAUUAGCUGACACAUAGUUCAAAAUGCAUAAAAAUAAUACAGAGACUUUUAAGGAGCUUUCCAGCUUCUAAAACAACAAAGUCUGUGAAUCAAUCAUGGCUCACUUAUUGGGCUUCUAUUUGGAUUAGCUCCUGGUACCAAUGAUUGUCAUCCCUAAAAUAUUCAGUUAAUCAAUAUAUAUUAUAAAGCCAAUAUGAAAAAUGUAAUAUUGAGCUUUUACUAGAGUAUGCUUCUUUCAUGAAAUUUAAACAUAUUAGUUUUUGAUUUUAUAUAAAACUUAACAUAUGCUCUACACAUUUUUAUUUGCAGGCAAACAUAUG